CUGCUGGGAAUUUCCUUGGUCAUAUCUCAGUGAUCUCCAUGCUUGUUGUUUCUUGGGCCCCUUUAUGUCUGUGUGACCCAGUUUUUAGUCUGGACUUUGCUUCUUAAUUAACCCACGUGAUUGUGUGACAAGCGGCACACCCACAUGGGGAUGAGGCCUAUCCAGGCCUCGUUCUCUUGCGUUCUGGCUUGUUAUAUGAGUUUCUAUGCAUGUGGGUGGGGUAGGCGGGGAGAGCUGCCACUGGAUCUGCUUAAUCUGGAACCAGGGUCAAAGCAGUGACUGUCGGAAGCCACCAGGCCAAGAUGUCUUUCUAUCAUGGCUGGUGUCUUAUCACCAUACCCAGAGAGGGCUUCCCUUGGAACUCUAGAAAGACGAUGACAGCAAAAAGAAACUGUUCUGUUGAUGGCUCUGGAGAGGCCCCCUGGAACUCUAGUUCUCAGCAGCCAACUCUGGUGAUGGAGGAUGGGAUUUAAAUGGUGGACACCUAAAGGAGAAGAAAGCACAAAAGAAUGUCCAAUCAA
rnacentral:lncRNA from 1 species